rnacentral:rRNA from 1 species
CUUCUGGUAUUAGUGUGAAGUCGUGCCUGCCCACUGAUUUUUGAAGGGCCGCGGUAUAUUGACCGUGCAAAGGUAGCAUAAUCAUUAGUCUUUUAAUUGGAGGCUGGAAUGAAUGGUUUGACGAGACGAGAACUGUCUCUUGAGUAUAUAUUGAAUUUUACUUUUAGGUCAAAAGGCUUAAAUAUUAAUUGGGGACGAGAAGACCCUAUAGAUCUUUAUUUUUAAAUUGUUAUUUAUAUUUUGGGAGUUAGAAUAUUUAUAGUGGGUUUAAGAAUUGUGUUGGGGUGACACGUGAAUAUGAUAAACUUCUUGUGGUGUAUACUUUGAUUUGAGGUAAUUUGAUCCUUUAAUAUGGAUGGAAGAUUAAGAUACCUUAGGGAUAACAGCGUUAUUUCAUUAGAGAGUUCUAAUCGAUAGUGAAGAUUGCGACCUCGAUGUUGGAUUAAGAUUUUGACUUGGUGUAGAAGUUAAGUUGGUUAGUCUGUUC